rnacentral:rRNA from 1 species
ACUCAAAUGAAUUGACGGGGGCCCGCACAAGCGGUGGAGCAUGUGGUUUAAUUCGACGCAACGCGAAGAACCUUACCCGGGCUUGAACUACUGGUAGUAGUCCUCUGGAAACAGAGGGCGAUCCGCAAGGAAGCCAGCAGAGGUGCUGCAUGGUUGUCGUCAGCUCGUGUCGUGAGAUGUUGGGUUAAGUCCCGCAACGAGCGCAACCCCUACUCGAUGUUGCCACUCCCGCAAGGGAAGCACUCUUCGAGAACUGCCUUCGAUAAGAAGGAGGAAGGUGGGGACGACGUCAAAUCCUCAUGGCCCUUAUGUCCGGGGCCACACACGUGCUACAAUGGUCGGUACAACGGGAAGCAAUACCGCAAGGUGGAGCCAACCCCUAAAAGCCGGCCCCAGUUCAGAUCGUGGGCUGCAACUCGCCCACGUGAAGGUGGAAUCGCUAGUAAUCGCGAAUCAGCAGGUCGCGGUGAAUACGUUCCCGGGCCUUGUACACACCGCCCGU